AUUGAACGCUGGCGGCAUGCUUUACACAUGCAAGUCGAGCGGCAGCGCGGGGGCAACCCUGGCGGCGAGCGGCGAACGGGUGAGUAAUGCAUCGGAACGUACCCUGGAGUGGGGGAUAACGCCGCGAAAGCGGCGCUAAUACCGCAUAUGCUCUGAGGAGGAAAGCGGGGGCUCGCAAGACCUCGCGCUCUGGGAGCGGCCGAUGUCCGAUUAGCUAGUUGGUGGGGUAAAGGCUUACCAAGGCGACGAUCGGUAGCUGGUCUGAGAGGAUGAUCCGCCACACUGGAACUGAGACACGGUCCAGACUCCUACGGGAGGCAGCAGUGGGGAAUUUUGGACAAUGGGCGCAAGCCUGAUCCAGCCAUGCCGCGUGAGUGAAGAAGGCCU
rnacentral:rRNA from 1 species